rnacentral:rRNA from 1 species
UACGUAGGGGGCGAGCGUUGUCCGGAGUUACUGGGCGUAAAGCGCACGCAGGCGGUCUGCUAAGUUUGGAGUGACAGUUGGUGGCUUAACUGCCAAAGUGCUUCGAAAACUGACAGACUUGAGGGCUUCAGAGGGACACGGAAUUCCGGGUGGAGUGGUGAAAUGCGUAGAGAUCCGGAGGAACACCAAAGGCGAAGGCAGUGUCCUGGGGAGUACCUGACGCUCAGGUGCGAAAGCGUGGGGAGCGAACAGG